rnacentral:rRNA from 1 species
GACGAACGCUGGCGGCGUGCUUAACACAUGCAAGUCGAACGGAAAGGCCCUGCUUGCAGGGUACUCGAGUGGCGAACGGGUGAGUAACACGUGGGUGAUCUGCCCUGCACUUCGGGAUAAGCCUGGGAAACUGGGUCUAAUACCGGAUAGGAGCCAUUUUUAGUGUGAUGGUUGGAAAGUUUUUUCGGUGUAGGAUGAGCUCGCGGCCUAUCAGCUUGUUGGUGGGGUAAUGGCCUACCAAGGCGGCGACGGGUAGCCGGCCUGAGAGGGUGGACGGCCACAGUGGGACUGAGAGACGGCCCAGACUCCUACGGGAGGCAGCAGUGGGGAAUAUUGCACAAGGGGCGCAAGCCUGAUGCAGCGACGCCGCGUGGGGGAUGACGGCCUUCGGGUUGGAAACUCCUUUCGCUAGGGACGAAGCUUUUUGUGACGGUACCUAGAUAAGAAGCACCGGCUAACUACGUG